rnacentral:rRNA from 1 species
GACGAACCGUGCGAACGUUAUUCGGAAUCACUGGGCUUAAAGCGCGUGUAGGCGGGCCGGCACGUCGACGGCUGAAAUCCCCCCGCUCAACGGGGGAACGGCCUCGGAUACUUUCGGCCUGGAGGGGGGUAGGGGCGGGCGGAACUGUGGGUGGAGCGGUGAAAUGCGUUGAGAUCCACAGGAACUCCGGUGGCGAAGGCGGCCCGCUGGACCCUUACUGACGCUGAGGCGCGAAAGCCAGGGGAGCGAACGGG